UAUUAUUAGAGCUUUUCUUUGGACAUUCCAGUUAGAAAGUUUUUUGUAGGGGGUAAGGGAUCUUUUUUCUUUUGUUGGACCAUAUUCUUAUAGUUUCCUGGUCUUGGUUCAACAUAUCUAAACCUUUUUUAACUCGUUUUCUUCUGUCUGCACUAGUUGGAGGCUUCUUUUUUGCGCUGUUUUUUUUUUUUUUUUUUUUUUAAUUUUUUUAAUUUUUUUUUUUUUUUUUGUAACUCCCAUACCCCAGGCUGAGGCUUUCCUUCCACUUUUUGUAUAUUCCAAUUUAUCAAUGAAAUAGCCUCUUAUUAGGGAAAUAAUUGCUUGUUUGUGGGAGAUUCUUUCUGUAAACGUAUGUGUGCUUUUUCACUCUUUCCAUGGUAUAUUUUUGGUUUAAAACCCAUUUUUGCUAAAAAGCUUGGACACAAACACGGUGACACAUCAAUUUCUAAAAAAGUUAAAUAUUUUAUAGAGCCAUGUCCAUGGAGGAAAAAGGAUUCAGACACAUUCUUUUAGCGUGUCGGACAUGUGUCUAGAGCAUGUCCAUAUGUAUUUGUGUUCGUGCUUCCUAGCAUUUUGGUCCCUAAAUUUUCAUAAUGACCAAAGCUUAAUGACCAAAAUACAGUUCAACAAAAGGAACAAGUUGAAAACCAACUUCAUGGAAUAAGUUGAAAGAUUAUGAAAGGAGCAUCCGAAAAUCAGCUCGACAAAAGGAACCUCCAAAGUAUUUACAUGAUAUUUAGGGAAGUUGAAACUUGAAAAUGUUCCUAUACAGAAAAUAACAGAACUUGGCCACCUAAACAUUUUUUUUAGGUGAAACAUUCUUGUUUUUUAUAUUAUAUUUUAAUUAGUAAUGAAACCAUUUU